rnacentral:rRNA from 1 species
CAAUAGCGUAUAUUAAAGUUGUUGCGGUUAAAAAGCUCGUAGUUGGAUUUCUGUCGAGGACAGCCGGUCCACACUUUGUGUGAGUAUCUGGUUUGGCCUUGGCAUCCUCUUGAAAAACAGCUCUGCGCUUGAUUGCGUGGACUGGAGUUCAAGACUUUUACUUUGAGGAAAUUAGAGUGUUCACGGCAGGCAAACGCCUUGAAUAUAUUAGCAUGGAAUAAUAAUAUAGGACCUUUGUUCUAUUUUGUUGGUUUCUAGAGCGAAGGUAAUGAUUAAUAGGGAUAAUUGGGGGCAUUCGUAUUAACGCGUCAGAGGUGGAAUUCUUGGAUUGUCGUUACGACGAACUACUGACGAAAGCUAUUUGCCGAAGGAUUGUUUUCUAUUGAUCAAGAAACGAAAGGUUAGGGGAUCGAAGACGAUUAGA